AUUAGGAAUCUUGUGCAAUGGGGGCAACCCUGACACAGCGACGCCGCGUGGAGGAUGACGGCCUUCGGGUUGUAAACUCCUUUUGAUGAGGAAGAAACAAAUGACGGUACUCGUCGAAUAAGCCCCGGCUAACUCCGUGCCAGCAGCCGCGGUAAUACGGAGGGGGCGAGCGUUGUCCGAAGUUACUGGGCGUAAAGGGCGCGUAGGCGGGGUGUCACGUCCGCUGUGAAAGCCUGGAGCUUAACUCCAGCGGGUCGGUGGAUACGGGCACUCUUGAAGGCGUUAGGGGAAGAUGGAAUUACCCGUGGAGCGGUGAAAUGCGUAGAGAUGGGUAGGAACACCGGUGGCGAAGGCGGUCUUCUGGGACGUCCUUGACGCUGAUGCGCGAAAGCUGGGGGAGCGAACGG
rnacentral:rRNA from 1 species